rnacentral:rRNA from 1 species
GGACUCCACUGCUAUCGGGGUAAGGCUAAGCCAUGCAAGUCGAAGGCCUCCGGCUCCGGGGGCCUGGCGUACGGCUGAGUAACGCGUGGCCAACCUGCCCUGCGGAGGGGGAUAACCCCGGGAAACUGGGGAUAAACCCCCAUAGGUGACCGGCUCUGGAAAGACCGGUCGCCGAAAGUCCCGGUCGGGGACGCUCCGGCCGGGAGCCGCAGGAUGGGGCUGCGUCCUAUCAGGUAGUUGGUGGGGUAACGGCCCACCAAGCCUGUGACGGGUAGGGGCCCUGAGAGGGGGAGCCCCCAGAUGGACUCUGAGACAAGAGUCCAGGCCCUACGGGGCGCAGCAGGCGCGAAACCUCCGCAAUGGGCGAAAGCCCGACGGGGUUACCCCGAGUGCCACCCUCGUGGUGGCUUUUGCCCGCUCUAAAAAGGCGGGCGAAUAAGGGGAGGGCAAGUCGGGUGUCAGCCGCCGCGGUAAUACCCGCUCCCCGAGUGGUGGAGGCUAUUACUGGGCCUAAAGCGCCCGUAGCCGGCCCGGUGUGUCCCUCGUUAAAUCCACGGGCUUAACCCGUGGGCUGCGGGGGAUACUACCGGGCUUGGGGGUGGGAGAGGCGCCCGGUAUUCCCGGGGUAGGGGUAAAAUCCUCUGAUCCCGGGAGGACCAUCAGUGGCGAAGGCGGGCGCCAGACACGCCCGACGGUGAGGGGCGAAAGCUGGGGG